GCUCCUUUAUCCCUAAUUUGGUACCGAUCGAUUUUUGGAUGAAUUUAUUCCUAAUUUGGUAGCGUAAAGGAGGAUUUGGAUAUUGUUUUUUUUUUUUUUUUUUUUUUUUGUGUAGUUCUGUAAGCUUUCUUCAAUGGCGGAUUUGAUGGAAUUUGGUGUAUUUGGUUACAGUGGUUAAGGUUGAAUCAAGAUUCAAUUAGGAUUGGUGAAUUUGUAGAAAUCAUUGAUUGAUUGAUUGAUUAAAUUGUUUGUGGCAUUUGUUGUUGAUGGAUUUGUUUGGAUGGUUCUUUUGUUGGCAAUUAGGGUUCUUAACCAACAAAAGAACCAAAUGAUAGAUCUUGAAACUUGUGAUUCUUUUAACCUUAGAAUUGUGCAUUGUAAGUUUUGAAUUUUUAUUUAAAUAAUGUUUGAUGAGAAGUUUUAUGAAAGAAAAGAAUUUGAGUAACUUGAAAUACAAAUGGUAAAAUAAUUGUAAGAUUGUGUAGAGACUCAAAAGAAACACAUCCUGGUGAAGAUUGAAGUUGGUGGGCAAAAAAAUUAACCGAAUCGUUGAACCGAAUUGAAUUGAACCGAAUUUAUGGUUGAUCGAGCAAAUUAGGUUCGAAUACAAAUACUGCAUAUUUGAUAUAUUUGCUCGGUUCGGUUCAGUUUCGGUUUUUGAUAUUUUUUCAGUUCAGUUAAUUAUAUUUUAAAUUUUAUAAGGGUGUGUUUGUUUGGGGUUUGGAUUUUGAGUUGGGAUUUGAAUAGUAAAAAUUUUGAAUUUGAAUAGUUGUAUAAUGUAAUAUAAACAGGUGUUGAUUUGAUAUUUUGAAUGUAAAAUUGAUUUUUAGUAUAAUAUAAAAAAUAAAAAAUAGGUGUUGAUUUGAUAUUUUGAAUGUAAAAUUGAUUUUUAGUAUAAUAUAAAAAAUAAAAAAUAGGUGUUUGAUUUGAUGGUUUUGGAGGGGGGAAAUUGGAUGAAUAGAGUAAAUCCAAUCCAAUUUCCCAAACAAACACACCCUAGUUAUAUUUGAUUCGGUUUCGGUUUGGUCACGGGGUUCGAUUUCGAUUCGAAUAUUUGAAAUAUUUGUAAAUAUUUUGAUUUAAUUAGAAUUUUAAUUAUUUUUUAAUAUAUUCUUUUUUAAUUUCGGUUCGGUUCGAAUUAUUUGCAAAUAUUACAAAUAUUUUCAGUUCGAAUAUGGUUCACGAUUUCGGGUAUUUGUUCGGUUCGGUUCGGUUCGGAUAUCAAAUACCUGCAUAUUUGCAAAUAUCUGAACCGUGCCCACCCCAAUAUAUAAGCACAUGAUAUUUCGAAUUAUGAGACGCAAUUUAGCAUAAUUUGCUCGAACAUAUGAUAGAACUCUUUAUAGUCUCGUCGGUCUAAUUUUAACAUUUUGACUUUUUGACGAACUUCUCCAUAAAAGAUAAGAUAAAUAAAUGUAUCUCAUUACACUGAAUGGGUAGGGGUCGUUGGAGUGAAUGAGGGUAUUAUAUUAGUCGAUCUUGACGUAUUUUUCCUUCCGAAUGUACUUAUCUUUUAGGACACUAUCUUAUUUCAUUGGUUUUCGUUGUAAUAUGGUCUAAAACCGUGUAGUUAAGUAAUCGGAUGCAUCAUUUACUUUUUCAGUAACUAGGUCGGAUGUCCCCGGCACUCAUAUAUAUAAUGUAGAAGCACAAUCUAGUCGGGCAUUUGAGUUUGAACCGGCGAAAUUACUUUGAUCUUCAUUUGUUCGUUCGUUGCUUUUGAGGGCGUUUAUGAGAUUAUUUUGUUCGGGAACUUUUGUAACCAUCUCUAGUUGUCUUGUUUCUUGUUUUUCGCUAACAAUCCGUGGCUGCAAAAAUGCAGGCUCGGUUGCAUCCGAUGGGCGAUUUCGAUACGAAAAACUGAUGUAGAUUCGGGAUCUCGUUGUUACGGUUGAUAAU